AGAGGUUGAUCCUGGCUGAGGAUGAACGCUAGCGGCAGGCUUAACACAUGCAAGANGAGGGGUAGAAGCAGCUUGCUGCUUUGAGACCGGCGCACGGGUGCGUAACGCGUAUACAAUCUACCUUUACAGAGGGAUAGCCCAGAGAAAUUUGGAUUAAUACCUCAUAGUAUUUUCGAAUCGCAUGAUUUGAUUAUUAAAGUUCCAACGGUAAAAGAUGAGUAUGCGUCCCAUUAGCUAGAUGGUAAGGUAACGGCUUACCAUGGCAAUGAUGGGUAGGGGUCCUGAGAGGGAGAUCCCCCACACUGGUACUGAGACUCGGACCAGACUCCUACGGGAGGCAGCAGUGAGGAAUAUUGGACAAUGGGCGCAAGCCUGAUCCAGCCAUGCCGCGUGCAGGAAGACGGUCCUAUGGAUUGUAAACUGCUUUUAUACAGGAAGAAACACACCCUCGUGAGGGUACUUGACGGUACUGUAUGAAUAAGCAUCGGCUAACUCCGUGCCAGCAGCCGCGGUAAUACGGAGGAUGCAAGCGUUAUCCGGAAUCAUUGGGUUUAAAGGGUCCGUAGGCGGCCAAAUAAGUCAGUGGUGAAAGCCCAUCGCUCAACGAUGGAACGGCCAUUGAUACUGUUUGGCUUGAAUUAUUAGGAAGUAACUAGAAUAUGUAGUGUAGCGGUGAAAUGCUUAGAGAUUACAUGGAAUACCAAUUGCGAAGGCAGGUUACUACUAAUAUAUUGACGCUGAUGGACGAAAGCGUGGGGAGCGAACAGGAUUAGAUACCCUGGUAGUCCACGCCGUAAACGAUGGAUACUAGCUGUUCGGAGCAAUCUGAGCGGCUAAGCGAAAGUGAUAAGUAUCCCACCUGGGGAGUACGUUCGCAAGAAUGAAACUCAAAGGAAUUGACGGGGGCCCGCACAAGCGGUGGAGCAUG
rnacentral:rRNA from 1 species